UACGUAGGGUGCAAGCGUUGUCCGGAAUUACUGGGCGUAAAGGGCGCGUAGGCGGUACUUCAAGUCAGGCGUGAAAGCCCCGGGCUCAACCUGGGAACCGCGCUUGAGACUGGCACGCUCGAGUUCGGGAGAGGAUGGUGGAAUUCCCAGUGUAGAGGUGAAAUUCGUAGAUAUUGGGAAGAACACCGAUGGCGAAGGCAGCCAUCUGGACCGACACUGACGCUGAGGCGGCGAAAGCGUGGGGAGCAAACAGG
rnacentral:rRNA from 1 species